AUAUUCUCUAUAUUGUAUCGUAUAGUUUAUACGCUUUUAAAUUUCACCCUGCUAAGCCAAACCAUUUUCUUUGUAAGAGUUAUCUCCCUAUUCACUGUUUAUCAUCUGUGUGCAUCUCCUUCGUAACAAAAAAAGAUAUCGACAAAAUUCAUUUUACAAAUUGUUCGUUACAUCCUCAGUAAUUUUUGGCGUAUUUGGAUCGAAGCGCUUCGAAGAAAUUUUAUAGGAGUUAUCUAUCUUUACGGAAUAAAUUUGUCGGUAUGUUUUUUUAACUCAUAAACCGUAAACCGUAUAACCCUGGAAUGUUUUUAUUUGAGUCCCCUGAUUCCUAACUUAGAAAAUUAGGUCAAGGUCAAGGGUCAAGGUCAUAUUUUAGAUUUUCA
rnacentral:lncRNA from 1 species